rnacentral:rRNA from 1 species
ACGCUCGACACCUACGGGAGGCAGCAGUGAGGAAUAUUGGUCAAUGGACGCAAGUCUGAACCAGCCAUGCCGCGUGCAGGAUGACGGCUCUAUGAGUUGUAAACUGCUUUUGUACGAGGGUAAACGCAGAUACGUGUAUCUGUCUGAAAGUNUCGUACGAAUAAGGAUCGGCUAACUCCGUGCCAGCAGCUGCGGUAAUCUGAGCGGCUGGCAAGGC